GACGUAGGGGGCCAGCGUUGCUCGGAAUUACUGGGCGUAAAGGGUCCGUAGGCGGUGCGGUAAGUCGGGAGUGAAAUCUCUGGGCUUAACUCAGAGGCUGCUUCCGAAACUACCGUGCUAGAGUGCGAGAGAGGCAAGUGGAAUUGCGGGUGUAGCGGUGAAAUGCGUAGAUAUCCGCAGGAACAUCCGAGGCGAAAGCGGCUUGCUGGAUCGCACUGACGCUGAGGGACGAAAGCUGGGGGAGCAAACAGG
rnacentral:rRNA from 1 species